rnacentral:lncRNA from 1 species
UCCCAGGGUGUCCUCUUCCUACAUCAGGCCCCCUCUUGUAUACUCUACCUACCUACCAACUAUCUUUUAUCUCUCACUCUGCCUUUUCAGUGCUCACUGGUCUCUCAACAGGUCAUUUGCCAUUGCUAGGUUGGCUUUCCGCCAAUGAGACAACAAUUCUGACAACAAACCUCUCCUCUUCAGAGACAGAAAGUGUGAAACCACCAAAGCAGAUGCUUGAGGUCUUAACGGGAAAAGAACCUGCCUAUGUAACCACACUACCCAUGACAGAGUGGUUCUGAGAAGCAGAGGCCCCAGAUAACCACGGAGAGUCAACAACCGGAAAAGCUGUGGAGAGAACACAGGCUUCUAGAUGUUGUUUUUAACUACAUGAAUGACUUAUAUUUGUAAUCGAACACA